UGAGCACAUGCUGCUCAUUUGUGCUCUGUCCCCAGGGCAGUCACCCUCCACCCUGCAUUUAGAAGCGAUAGUUUUUUUUCUCUUGAAGGAAAAAGGCCUUUGCUUUCUGUGACCACUCCAUUCUGACUUCCAUCAGAUCAGCUGGGAGACUUUGUUGUCUAAUCCGUGUUGGUUUAAUCUUCUGUCAUCCCUGUCCUGCCUGGCUCAUCAGGAAUCUGCAGGAGUCUGUGGAGAAGGAAGCCACCCAGGAGUCCUGGGAUGAAGAUGAUUCGACUCUCUCAAUUCCUCCUGGCACAUUUACCUUCAAUGAGCUUUACAGGACCAACUUGCACUCAUUAGAGGAACAGCAGGUCAACUUGGCUCAUGACACAGACAAGAUUAAAAAGGACCAAGAAGAGGAAGAAGACCAAGGCCCACUGUGCCCCAGGUAACUUUGAGCAACUGUGAACA
rnacentral:lncRNA from 13 species